rnacentral:tRNA from 1 species
AACUUAGGAUAAUAAAAACCAAGAGCCUUCAAAGUUCGAAAUAAGGGUGUAAGCCCCUUAGUUUUUGCAAGA